GGCUGGGUUAACAGCAGACCAGCCCUACCUGGCUUCCAUGACAACAGCAUUAUAUUGGCAGCCCUGGGAAAGAGAAGUCUGGAUGCUACCAUGUGUUUGGAAAGCUUCUCAGGAAGUUGGCCCAUGGCUAUCUAGCUGCCAGCCCCUGGGCCUCCUAAGAACUAAAUGUUUUCUUCCACAAGUUGUAAAAAUAAGCAAAGAAGAAAAUCCCCUUUGGCCUGUGAGGAAAUGCUCUAAGGAAACCAACAUAUUCCAUCUCCUGAACUCAAAGACCUCCAGGUCCCUACCCCAGCUUCAUCAGAUGGACCUAAUUCUUCUAAACUAGUCAUAAAUAUGUCAUAGGAUAGAUUUGAGAGUUGGCUUGUAGCCUCACUCUAGAUAAUAAAUUAUUAAGGGAAAUUUUCUUAGAAGGUUUCCUUUCCCAAAUAAAAGUUAAGGAAUAAAGAUGUGAAAGCCUCUAUGACUCUUCUUUCCCCUUCCCAAA
rnacentral:lncRNA from 1 species